ensembl:lncRNA novel transcript
AUUCUCCACCUCGGGAGCCCCUGGGGACUCUGUGACGGCCUCUGUUGCCCUGUGAUCUGCAGGUCCGGAGAGACGCACAGCUAAGAUGUCAGGACAUCCUGGAAGCUGGGAAAGGGUCUUGCCAUCUCUAAGCUGGACCUGGUGACCUUUUUGGAGGGAAAGAAAGAGCCCUGGACUGUGAAGAGUGAGGAGACCAUAGCUGCACAGCCAGUCCAGAUGUAUAAUCUCAUCCCUGAACAUUUCUGAUGGUGUGAUUAUGACAUGUGACUUUAUCUGGCAACAGAGUGAGUUGUUGCUCCCGCCUGAGCCCAGCCCCCAGAAAGGAUUGUGACAUAUCGUUGGACCCAGAAUUGAGCCAGUCCCUCCGUUUGGGGUCCCUGACUUCCUGCAACAUAUCUCUGCAUCCAUGACCUAAAUAUGUGACUCCUCUAUUCUGGCUGCACCCAGCUUACAGGAAGAUUAUGACAUUUUGCUAAGUAAAGUGUAUCUUGUGCUGAUCUCCUAUGUUAUUCUGUGACUAAGAAUGCCUAACCUGGGGUUGCAGCCCAGUAGGUCUCAGCCUCGUUUCACCUCAACACUAUUCAAGAUGGAGUCGCUCUGGUUUGAAUGCCUCUGACAUAGAGAUCCAUUGUAAAAUUAUGAAAAAAAUUUAUUUGAAUUGCAGUGAAUAAGAAAUGGAAGACCUAGGAUGGGCUAUUCUGAAAGAUUUAGCAAUAUUUGUAUUUGUCAAAAUUUAAGUUUUCCGUUAAUACUUCUGAAUAGAUACAUUGUUUUAUUCUGUCAAGUUUAAAUAGAUACGCUUGAUAAUACAAGGAGUUCCCACUGUGAAAGAAAAAUAAAUCUCCUGAUGCCAAAAUUACUAAUCCAAUAGAAAAGUCAAGCUGGAGACUACAUCAGGCAAACCUGUUUCCUAUUUUAUUCUUAAAUAAGAUAGCUACACAGAUAAAAAGCUACAUACCUACCUCACAAUUUGCUCAGAAGGAAAUUCCUAGUGAAUAGAUGACAGACAGAACUCAAAGUUAUCUCUCUGAGGCUCACCUGAGACAAAUGCAGAUCUGUUUGUUUCCUCUGCCCUAUUGUUAAUUUUAAAAUGCAGAUUCACUGAGCCAGGCUAAAUUGUGUAUUCAGUGGGAGACUUAUCAAGGACUCAAAUAAAUUUAUUAUUUUUUCUCUUAUCUACUUAUGACUUGGAAGCCCCAACCUCAAGUUUUCCUGUCUUACCUGACCACACCAAUGUACAUCUUAAACAUGUUAUUGAUGUCUCUUGACUUUCUAAAAUGUAUUAGAAGACUGUACCCCAACCACCUUGGGCACCUGUCAUCAGGACCUCCUGAGGCUGUGUCACAGGCUCCUACUUAACCUUGGCAGAAUAAACUUUCCAAA